rnacentral:rRNA from 1 species
AUGAGUCUGUUAUGUUGGAACUGCCGGGGGGAGGACCGCCGGACAGUUCGUGAGGUUUUGGCCCUCUCAAAAGCCAAUUCCCCGGGGCUCAUAUUCUUAUCUGAAACCAGACAAGCCUCAAAUAAAAUGGAGCGACUCAAGUGGAGAUUACAGAUGAAGGGUUUUGUGGGGGUGUCGAGCCAAGGUCUGAGUGGAGGGCUUGCCCUUUUCUGGGACGAAAGU